UACGUGGGGCGCAAGCGUUGUCCGGAAUUAUUGGGCGUAAAGAGCUCGUAGGCGGCUUGUCACGUCGGGUGUGAAAGCCCGGGGCUUAACCCCGGGUCUGCAUUCGAUACGGGCUAGCUAGAGUGUGGUAGGGGAGAUCGGAAUUCCUGGUGUAGCGGUGAAAUGCGCAGAUAUCAGGAGGAACACCGGUGGCGAAGGCGGAUCUCUGGGCAUUACCUGACGCUGAGGAGCGAAAGUGUGGGGAGCGAACAGG
rnacentral:rRNA from 1 species